AUGCAGCCAUGCCGCGUGUGUGAAGAAGGCCUUCGGGUUGUAAAGCACUUUCAGUUGUGAGGAAAGGUUGGUAAUUAAUACCUGCCAGCUGUGACGUUAACAACAGAAGAAGCACCGGCUAACUCCGUGCCAGCAGCCGCGGUAAUACGGAGGGUGCGAGCGUUAAUCGGAAUUACUGGGCGUAAAGCGCACGCAGGCGGUUUGUUAAGCUAGAUGUGAAAGCCCCGGGCUCAACCUGGGAUGGUCAUUUAGAACUGGCAGACUAGAGUCUUGGAGAGGGGAGUGGAAUUCCAGGUGUAGCGGUGAAAUGCGUAGAUAUCUGGAGGAACAUCAGUGGCGAAGGCGGCUCCCUGGCCAAAGACUGACGCUCAUGUGCGAAAGUGUGGGUAGCGAACAGGAUUAGAUACCCUGGUAGUCCACACCGUAAACGCUGUCUACUAGCUGUUUGUGAAUUUAAUUCGUGAGUAGCGAAGCUAACGCGAUAAGUAGACCGCCUGGGGAGUACGGCCGCAAGGUUAAAACUCAAAUGAAUUGACGGGGGCCCGCACAAGCGGUGGAGCAUGUGGUUUAAUUCGAUGCAACGCGAAGAACCUUACCUACACUUGACAUGCAGAGAACUUUCCAGAGAUGGAUUGGUGCCUUCGGGAACUCUGACACAGGUGCUGCAUGGCUGUCGUCAGCUCGUGUCGUGAGAUGUUGGGUUAAGUCCCGCAACGAGCGCAACCCUUGUCCUUAGUUGCCAGC
rnacentral:rRNA from 1 species